AACCACCUGAUCCCAUCCCGAACUCAGUAGUGAAACGAUGCAUCGCCGAUGGUAGUGUGGGGUUUCCCCAUGUGAGAGUAGGUCAUCGUCAAGA
rnacentral:rRNA from 2 species